UCUUCUCCAACCGAAUGGCCA
rnacentral:snRNA from 1 species